rnacentral:lncRNA from 1 species
GGCCGGACGCGCAGCGCUCGGCCGGUGCGUUUGCGGGCCUUGCUGGACCUCUGCGCAGGGACUGAGGGCGGAGGGCGUCCGCGGGCCCCCGGAGCUGAGCGGCCCCCGCGACCCUAUGUCCGAGCCGUCCUGCUCGCACGCACGUCCUCGUCCUGGUGUGGGCCUCUCGUUAUUAGUGACAGCGCCAGGUGCAAGCAUCGGAGCGCCCAGGACCCUGCUUCAGACGUUCUGAGCUUUGAUGAAACAGGGCAUGGGCGGCCACGGCCCCAGGGAUGCUCAGAGAGAUGUUAGGAGGCUCCAAUGAGGUGACAGAACCGGCAGAUAAAUUAGAGCCCUCCGUGAGGGGAGAUACAUAAGAUGUUGGAGCAGCAGCAGCCGGCUUGUGACAACGAGGCACAACUGGGGUCUACACAUUGAGGACGAAAGAGGCUGGGAACCUGAUGGCACAUGAGGCACCAUACCAGCCCUAGACUCUCUCUUGGCUUCUGAGCCCUGGGAGAGACGGAUGGGGGCCCCCGGCCCCAUGGAGAAGGCCUGUUCUGCUCUGUAACCCAAACCUUCACAAGCCACCAUGCACACCGGUCUUGGGGAAACAGUCUUUGAAAUAAGGGAAGAAGAUGGCACCAGGCAUGGGGCACAGGGUUCGCAGCACCGCAGUCCCAGGACGUGACAAGUUGGCGGGGAUUCCGAGGGAGCGUCUUGGAUUAAAAGGUGACAGGAAGCACGGGCUCUGGGGAAUCCUCAGGAAUUCCCAGUGUCAGGGGCGAAGCAAUUCCAGGCUUUUCGUUUGGACAUUAAAGGGCCAAGGGCUGCGGAAGGCUGGCAAGCUUAGCCACCAGGGAAACAGAACUUACUCCAUGGCUUUGCCAUCUGCCACUAAACUAUCCCAGGAAGGCUGGAGGUGGCUUCCCAAGCCCUUGCCAGCCCUGGAUUCAUUUUCUUAAAUCUUCUGACUUGGUUAAAUGAAAAAAUGGCAUUUCUUGUUUGAGGAGUAGGAGUACAUUUAUUUGAUUCCUAGUGAGGUUAAAUAUAUGUUUAACCAGUUUGUCCAUCUUAGAAUGUUUCUUUGUAACUCUCCUGUUUAUUUCCUUUCACCUAGAAAAGUUGUUUUGUUUCUUGUUGAUUUGUAGGAAUGCUUGAUAUAUUUAAGAUACUAACCCUUUGUGAUAAAUAUUAGCCCCCUUUUUUUUUUUUUUUUUUUGUCUUUUUGUCUUUUUGCCUUUUCUAGGGCCGCUUCCUGUGGCAUAUGGACGUUCCAGGCUAUGGGUCUAAUUGGAGCUGUAGCCGCUGGCCUACACCACAGCCACAGCAAUGUGGGAUCUGAGACACAUCUGCGACCUACACCACAGCUCACGGCAACGCCGGAUCCUCAACCCACUGAGCAAGGCCAGGGAUCGAACCCACAACCUCAUGGUUCCUAGUCGGAUUCGUUAACCACUGAGCCACAAUGGGAACUCCAAAUAUUAGCCCCUCUUUAUCUUUUGAUUAUUCCCCACCCCCAAGUGUUUAUUUGGAAAAAGGUUCAAAUCCCACAGAAAAGUGGAAGGGUUCAUACUACUACGUCUCUACACCCUUCUCCUAAAUUGGGUUCCUGCUGAGAGGGAAUCGGUGGGAAUCUCCCCCCUCCCCUGGUGAUUCACCGAUAGGAGUGGGAGGGUCAGGGCUGGCUGGAGGGAUCUGAGUGCGAUGCAGUGACCAUAGGGGCCCCAGCCCAUCACAGGGGGAGCUGGGGUGACCCUCCCGAGUCCCCCUGAAUUGAGACAAGUGGGUGUACUUUUAUACCCCCACAUCGACCCGUGCUGGAUGGUCCCAGGGAGGCCAAGGCAGGUCCCAGAGAGGACAGAGCAGAGAACUGCUGACCUCCCCAGCAGCAGGGAUGAGCCCUUCAGCCCUGGAGAGGAGAGGGGACUGCACCUCUCAGAGACACGGCAGAAUGGUUAACCCUGCCUCGUGUGCUUCAUCCUUUCUAUCUCUCUGUGUGUUUUUCCCAAAACAUUUAAGAAAACGGACCAUUCUCUGGAAUAAGAUGUGGUACCUAUAUACAAAGGAAUACUACUCAGCCAUAAAAAAAGAAUGAAAUCAUCUGCAGCAACAGGAAUGCAACUAGAAAUUAUCACACUAACUGAAGUCAGUCAAAAGAAGAAAGACAAAUACCGUAUGAUAUCACAUAUGUGGAAUCUAAAAUAGGGCACACAUGAACCUAUCUACAAAACAGAAGCAGACUCACAGACAUAGAGAACAGACGUGUGGUUGCCAAGGGGGAGAGGCAAGAGAGUGGGAUGGAUGGAUGGGGAGUUUGGGGUGCAGAGAUGUCAAGUAGUCCAUUUAGCAUGGCUGAACGAGGUCCUACUGAAUAGCACGGGGAGCUACAGCCAAUCUCUUGGGACAGAACCUGAUGAAAGAUAAUAUAGGAAAAGGAAUGGAUGUAUGUGUAUGACUAGGUCACUUUGCUGUACAGCAGAAAUUGGCACGACAUG